rnacentral:rRNA from 1 species
CCCUUAGAUGUUCUGGGCCGCACGCGCGCUACACUGUUCGACGCAGCGAGUCUUAACCUUGACCGAAAGGUUUGGGUAAUCUUCAGCAAAGUCGAACGUGAUGGGGAUCGAUCAUUGCAAUUAUUGAUCGUGAACGAGGAAUUCCUAGUAAGUGCAAGUCAUCGGCUUGCGCUGAUUACGUCCCUGCCCUUUGUACACACCGCCCGUCGCUACUACCGAUUGAAUGGUUUAGUGAGAUCUCUGGAUUGACGCUGGCUAGGGGGCGACCCUUGGCCAGGCUGUCGAGAAACUGCUCAAACUUGAUCAUUUAGAGGAAGUAAAAGUCGUAACA